AUACAGAGGGUGCGAGCGUUAAUCGGAAUUACUGGGCGUAAAGCGCGCGUAGGCGGCUUGGUCAGUCGGAUGUGAAAGCCCCGGGCUCAACCUGGGAAUGGCAUUCGAUACUGCCAGGCUAGAGUAUGGGAGAGGGAAGUGGAAUUUCCGGUGUAGCGGUGAAAUGCGUAGAUAUCGGAAGGAACACCAGUGGCGAAGGCGACUUCCUGGCCCAAUACUGACGCUGAAAUACGAAAACAUAGGGAGCGAACAGGAUUAGAUACCCUAGUAGUCC
rnacentral:rRNA from 1 species